GACGAACGCUGGCGGCGUGCUUAACACAUGCAAGUCGAACGGAAAGGCCCUGCUUUUGUGGGGUGCUCGAGUGGCGAAAGGGUGAGUAACACUUGAGUAACCUGCCCUUGACUUUGGGAUAACUUCAGGAAACUAGGGCUAAUACCGGAUAGGCGCUCCUGCUGCCUGGUGGGGGUUGGAAAGGUUCGGCGGUUGGGGAUGGACUCGCGGCUUAUCAGCUUGUUGGUGGGGUAGUGGCUUACCAAGGCUUUGACGGGUAGCCGGCCUGAGAGGGUGACCGGCCACAUUGGGACUGAGAUACGGCCCAGACUCCUACGGGAGGCAGCAGUGGGGAAUAUUGCACAAUGGGCGGAAGCCUGAUGCAGCAACGCCGCGUGCGGGAUGACGGCCUUCGGGUUGUAAACCGCUUUCGCCUGUGACGAAGCGUGAGUGACGGUAAUGGGUAAAGAAGCACCGGCUAACUACGUG
rnacentral:rRNA from 1 species